rnacentral:rRNA from 1 species
UACGUAGGGUGCGAGCGUUAAUCGGAAUUACUGGGCGUAAAGUGUGCGCAGGCGGCCGCGCAAGUCGAGUGUGAAAGCCCCGAGCUUAACUUGGGAAUUGCGCUCGAAACUACGUGGCUGGAGUGUGGCAGAGGAAGGUGGAAUUCCACGUGUAGCGGUGAAAUGCGUAGAGAUGUGGAGGAACACCAAUGGCGAAGGCAGCCUUCUGGGCCAACACUGACGCUCAUGCACGAAAGCGUGGGAGCAAACAGG